rnacentral:tRNA from 1 species
GGGGGUGUGAUUCAGUGGUAGAGUGCUUACCUGGCAUGCAUGAGACCUGAAUUCAAUCGCCAUCACCACAA